rnacentral:rRNA from 1 species
CUACGGAGGAUCCGAGCGUUAUCCGGAUUUAUUGGGUUUAAAGGGUGCGCAGGCGGCCAUUUAAGUCAGCGGUUAAAUCGUGGGGCUCAACCCCAUUCUGCCGUUGAUACUGGGUGGCUUGAUUGCGGUCGAGGUUGGCGGAAUUCGUUGUGUAGCGGUGAAAUGCAUAGAUAUGACGAAGAACACCGAGUGCGUAGGCAGCUGACCAGACCGCAAAUGACGCUCAUGCACGAAAGUGCGGGGAUCGAACAUGAUUAGAUACCAUGGUAGUCCGCACAGUAAACGAUGAAUACUUGUUUUCGGCGAUAUAAUGUCGGAGGCAAAGCGAAAGCGAUAAGUAUUCCACCUGGGGAGUACGCCGGCAACGGUGAAACUCAAAGGAAUUGGCGGGG